GUGUGUUCGUAAAGUAAUCGGCAUAGAGCAGGGCCUGUCCUUUUUCCCUGUUACGGUUCAGGUUGGGAGCACGGCCAGAGAGUGACCCCUGUAUCGAGGAAGCUACCGUUGAAUGUGGUCGUGAACCACCACUGCAGCCACCACAUAGAGGAUUUAGUCCUCCAAAAACCACCCCGAUCUCUCCUGCGUUGAUUUACCCACUGAGCAGACAGCGGCACGUACGUCCAGCAAGUAGUAUUUACCCACCGAGUAUCUCAGAUCGAUCGCCGCUGGGGCGUCACGCAUGCAUGCGUAGCCUAUGAUCCUAGCACGAGACACCAACGGCCAUUAGCAGUUACGCACCACUCACUACACUUUAACAACUGGCCGGAGCAAAUUAACGACUGACGAGAGAAGAUAAAAAAGCGAGACGUAGCUGGUAUUCCUUCCAUCUUCGUCACUCCUUUCCGUCAAAGCCAUGCAUAGCCUUUUCUUGAGGCAACAAAAGGCGGUGGCCAAGGAGGGAGUAGCCGAUCGACGCCGGCCAUGGGUAGUUGAGUACCUACCUAGGUAGUGGAUGCGUAGUGGAAUUAGAGGAGACAGACGGAGGAAAGGGAAAAGCGAAAGGAAGGAUCGGUGAAG
rnacentral:lncRNA from 1 species